AAGUCGUAACAAGGUUUCCGUAGGUGAACCUGCGGAAGGAUCAUUAACACGUUUUAUAACGUUCUCCAAACAACUCCGUGAAUUCGUAUUCUCCCUCCUCGACCUGAUGCCGUUGAUGCUCUCAGCACUACACCUAGUUAGUGGACUAACAACCGAUGACGACAAUAACUAUUCAGUUAGUUACGGGUACUCCUUGGGGUGGCUGGCAUUCGCAGCUUUUUGGCUGACAUCUGGGGUCGUUGCAGGCUAUUUUUACCAUCCACUUCUAACACCUUUAAUCGACUCGUCUCAACCGUUUACGGAAGAGCUCCGAUCGACCAAUUUGACUAAAUGCAUAUCAGGCCUUGACUGGUAGCACUUGUGGCUACUGGACCUUGUGUCCCGAUAGAAUUGAGUUAUGUAACUGCACAACUCUUAGCAACGGAUAUCUUGGUUCUG
rnacentral:misc_RNA from 1 species